CUUUGACCUCCUAUGUCGCAAUUGCGUGCUUCCUGCCUAUUUUGCAUCCUGUUUCUUCGACUAUAAAAUUGCGUCUUUGGUUUGUUACAGGAAGAUCGGCCUGGAGGUGCACCUGACUUGGACAUCAGCCGUGCGGCCCAUGGAAUCAUCAGAUAUAAGUGGUAAGCAUCAAGUCCAGGCCCAGGCACAUCCCUUUAGAUAAGAAGCAGCAUCACUUCCUAUUUUACUACGACUGUACCAUACAAAUGAAAUAAAUAGCAGCAUUACUGUCAAA